UGCUAUUUAUUCAAAUAAAUGCAUGCAUUCUUUAUGAUUUAGAAUUCAUCUGAAGGUCAAUUUGAAGUACAGUACAAUAUUUCUAUAUCGUUUAAGAGAAAAAUCAUCAUUUUACAGUGCUUUGUUGACAAGCCCAGCAUUUUUUUUUCGAGCAGCUGACACACACUUCAUUGGUUGUCGUGCCCUCAUCCAGUUUCGUUUGUAUUUUAAUUCACAUUUGAGUGCGUAGCCCGUGUGAGGGAGAAACACGAUAACUUCUUCUCAUGUUUCGCAAAAGGAGGAUGAGACUGGUAAAAAUGAUCGAUUUGAGGAAAGGAGCGAGCCCCUCAGCAAUGACUCGUUGCAAGUCAACAAUCGGCUUUGUGUUUGCCCGCAGGCGUCUGCGGAGGGACCUCUGGAUGCUGAUGAUGAGCAACUCGGCGGUGAAGAGAAAGAAUCUGCCUCGCUGGAGGGAAGAGCUCGUAGCACUGACCCUUGGAUUAUCGGGAAAUGGAAAUCGGGAAGCGGCACGCAAGAUGGCGCUGUAAAGCGGGAAUGUGACGUCGGUGAGGGGGCCGUUCCGGCUGCGGAGGUCUCUUCUUCCUCUGACGCACGCUCAUCAUUCGCGCAGGUCCACUUGAAUGUCCUUUGCUUGGUUUGCAUGUUGAAGUAGACGUGAGGAACUUGGCGGUUUGGUCUGUGGGCGCAGGGGGCUGCGUGCAGAGAGACGGACAGUGGAUUCGGGAGCUGCGACUUGAA